rnacentral:rRNA from 1 species
CUAACGCAAUAAGUAGACCGCCUGGGGAGUACGGCCGCAAGGUUAAAACUCAAAUGAAUUGACGGGGGCCCGCACAAGCGGUGGAGCAUGUGGUUUAAUUCGAUGCAACGCGAAGAACCUUACCUGGUCUUGACAUACACAGAAUCUUGUAGAGAUACGAGAGUGCCUUCGGGAAUUGUGAUACAGGUGCUGCAUGGCUGUCGUCAGCUCGUGUCGUGAGAUGUUGGGUUAAGUCCCGCAACGAGCGCAACCCUUGUCCUUAGUUACCAGCACUUCGGGUGGGAACUCUAAGGAUACUGCCAGUGACAAACUGGAGGAAGGCGGGGACGACGUCAAGUCAUCAUGGCCCUUACGACCAGGGCUACACACGUGCUACAAUGGUAGGUACAGAGGGCAGCUACACAGCGAUGUGAUGCGAAUCUCAAAAAGCCUAUCGUAGUCCAGAUUGGAGUCUGCAACUCGACUCCAUGAAGUAGGAAUCGCUAGUAAUCGCGGAUCAGAAUGCCGCGGUGAAUACGUUCCCGGGCCUUGUACACACCGCCCGUCACACCAUGGGAGUUGAUUGCACCAGAAGUGGUUAGCCUAACUUAGUGAGGGCGAUCACCACGGUGUGGUUGAUGACUGGGGUGAAGUCGUAACAAGGUAGCCGUAGGGGAACCUGCGGCUGGAU